rnacentral:rRNA from 1 species
ACUCCUACGGGAGGCAGCAGUGGGGAAUUUUGCACAAUGGGGGAAACCCUGAUGCAGCAACGCCGCGUGGAGGAUGAAGUCCCUUGGGAUGUAAACUCCUUUCGACCGGGACGAUAAUGACGGUACCGGUGGAAGAAGCCCCGGCUAACUCUGUGCCAGCAGCCGCGGUAAUACAGAGGGGGCAAGCGUUGUUCGGAAUUAUUGGGCGUAAAGGGCGCGUAGGCGGUGCGGUAAGUCUUUUGUGAAAUCUCCGGGCUCAACUCGGAGUCUGCAGGAGAAACUGCCGUGCUUGAGUAUGGGAGAGGUGAGUGGAAUUCCUGGUGUAGCGGUGAAAUGCGUAGAUAUCAGGAGGAACACCUGUGGCGAAAGCGGCUCACUGGACCAUUACUGACGCUGAGGCACGAAAGCUAGGGGAGCAAACAGGAUUAGAUACCCUGGUAGUC